rnacentral:misc_RNA from 1 species
GGUGAAAGAAAGUCCACUGCGAUGAAAGCUUGUGUUCCUCUUUCCACUCACAAUCUCCAACAGGAACACACCAAAGCUAAAUACAUCUGAUUUCACUGAAAAUUUUCCUUCUUCUGCAUACUCCGGAGACAUGUAGCCAUAUGUCCCAACAACUCUUUUUGUCAUGGCUCCAGUCUCAUUUCCUCCGAAACUUCUUGCCAUGCCAAAAUCAGAUAUCUUCGGGUUCAUAUCAGUGUCUAGCAAAACAUUGCUAGGCUUAAGAUCUCUGUGUAUUAUCCUCAAUCUAGAGUCUUGGUGAAGAUAGAGAAGUCCGCGAGCAAUUCCAUUAAUAAUAUGGAAGCACUUAGGCCAAUCAAGCAGUGACCUCCUAUCUGUAUCAAAAAGGAACCAAUCCAA